GACGAACGCUGGCGGCGUGCCUAAUACAUGCAAGUCGAACGCAGUGGGGACGGGUGAGUAACACGUUGGUAACCUCCCAUCAGAGGGGAUAACCCUUGGAAACAGGUGCUAAACCGAUACUGAUGGAUGGCCCCGCGGUGCAUUUGCAAGUUGGUGAGGUAACGGCUCACCAACGCCACGAUGCAUAGACAACUCGGUGUGGGGUCAUGCCACACUGGGACUGGGACCGGGCCCAGACUCCUACGUGAGGCAGCAGUAGGGAAUCUUCGGCAAUGGACGAAAGUCUGACCGAGCAACGCAGGGUGAGUGAAGAAGGUUUGCGAAUCGUAAAACUCUGUAGUUAGAGAAGCGGGAUCUAACCAGAAAGCCACGGCUAACUACGUGCCAGCAGCCGCGGUAAUC
rnacentral:rRNA from 1 species